GAGAAAAAUGUGCCUUGACUAGGUGAGUUUUUUUCACUUUAGAUGCCAUUAUAAGUUUAAUGCAUAGUUAAGUGUGUUUGGAAAGUCCUAUACGAGCAAACUUUAGUCCCUCUAUAAAGUCUGAGCACAUUUUCCCACACGAUCUGUGCUGUCAGCUGCACGUUAUUGCUUCCUUUUUUUUAACAGCCCAGUUCCCAACUGUGCUGACAGAGACACUGAUACAAUAUUUAUAAAAGCUCUACUCUCAUUUAGUUGAUUUUAUCCGAAACACGACACCUGCAACAGCAAAACUUGGAAACAGACUCUGAACCAAAUCUUGUCUUGUUGCCUCAAAUCAUACGAACGCUUACUGACUGCUGAUUUAUAACUGUUUCAAGUUUUAAUGGUUGUCUCAUAGUCUAGUAUACUUCCCUGAAAAGUGAGAAGAGGAUGAUGAAUUUCUAGUCCAUGCAGAAAUGGAAAACCUGCAACUUUAAAAGACAGUUUGUGUAUGAAGUCUGUUGUGUUUGCAGCUUUUUCCCCUAAAGCCUGUUUGUAGCUUGGGGUUAAUUUCUAAUCUACUCUGUUUUUUGGGGGGAGCUAUCCACAGCAGAGGUUGCGCCCCGUUUUUUAUUUUUUGUUUUUGCAGGACAGCAGGGUAAACUGGUUCACCUCAUGGACAUGGUGGAGAUAUGACAGGACAAACUACUGUAAAGUCCUAGAGGUGAGAAGCACAGGUCUCCAGCACAGACAGGUUUUGGUUCAGGCACUAACACAUAUUUCAUCACAGGCUGGCUUAGCACAGCUCACCAAGACCAGCCUGAGCCCAUGGGAGAAAAAAACAUUACAAUACGAGAGGAAACCUCCAGAAUUGAAAAAUGAAGCCAAUGUAAAAGUGCAAAAUAAUACAGCUCCUCUAGUUUCCUCUUGAGGCUGGCUGAGAAAGCACUGGUAGGUCCUGCUUCAACAUACUCAAAAGCCUCAACUCUGCUCCUUGCUAUAGUUGGAUUUCAAGCCCAUCUCUUCACGAUGCCACAAAGGCUACUCUCAUGUUUUUCACAGCCUUUUCUUAGGAGUCUGCUACAACAUGCCGAGGUAGGAGUAAAAUCUAACGCGUUCACAAUUUGAUUUAUCUUGGGUAAACAUGAAAGAGCCAAACUUAACCCCCAGACUACUUUUUUACAGCUUUAAAAAGACAAUUAUUGUAGGUAUUCAGUUGUUGUGUUGAUCCUUUCAGGUCUGAAACUCUACAUUUCUGUUAAUUCCCUGUAACAUGUUAGAAAUAACAUGGAAGCCGCCCUCUACUGGUUGAAAUUUUCCUAUUGGCUGAUCUGGUAUCUGCUUUUCGUGGAAGUGGAUUGGUGAAACUGAAACCCGAUGCAGUGCCAGGCGUCGCUCUCCUAACCGCAGGACAGUCAGUCAACUCUGCUAA